CGCAUGCGCGAGCCAGAAAAGUGCGUUUCAGAAUGAUUACCGUCCGACGGAGGGACAGAUUAUAGGGCUCUCCACAACUGUUGUUUUAAUCCCCCGGCCGAGGAGAUUUAGCAUAGAAAAAAACACUGGUUUUAAACCCAGCAGCCAUAUUGUAUGGAAAAACGACGGAACGGCUCCUCUGGUCAGGAAAGGUCUCUUCCUCGGACACCUCUGUCAAGAGUUUGGGGGAGUCUAACUUUCCGUCUUGCUGGCGGCGGCUCUGUGUUGGGACUGCGAGCUUCACAGCUGGCGGAGGAAUCCCCAGGUUUGCACCAGCUUUGAGACAUUUUUGCACAAUAUUCUGGUUCUCGCUUCGGUGUGAAGGUGUUAAACUGACCGUCGGCAGGAUGAAGGACAGAUUGGAGCAACUUAAAGCGACGUGUGAUCAAGAUGACGACGAGGUGGAGAUUGCUAUCGACAAUGCAGCCUUCAUGGACGAGUUCUUCUGUCAGAUUGAAGACAUUAGGAACAGUAUUGAUAAAAUUGACAGCAAUGUGGCUGAAGUCAAAAAGCUCUACUCGGUCAUCCUGUCUGCUCCCACUUCAGAUCAGAAAACGCAGGAUGACUUGGAGGCAAUCACCAAUGACAUAAAGAAGAUGGCCAACAAUGCUAGAAACAAACUGAAGACCAUCGAGAGGAAUCUGGAGUCAGAGGAGCAGGAGAGGGUGUCAGCCGACAUGCGGAUACGUAAAUCGCAGCAUGCGGUGCUGUCCAGGAAGUUUGUGGAGGUAAUGACAAAGUAUAAUGAAGCCCAGGUGGACUUCAGGGAGAGGAGUAAAGGACGUAUUCAGAGACAGCUAGAGAUCACUGGAAAAGCAACCACAGAUGAAGAACUGGAGGAGAUGCUGGAGAGCGGCAAUGCCGCUGUGUUCACUGCAGGGAUUGUGGACUCUGGGAUUUCUAAACAAGCCCUGAGUGAGAUCGAAUCCAGACACAAAGACAUCGUCCGUCUAGAAAGUAGCAUCAAGGAGCUGCACGACAUGUUCGUAGACAUCGCCAUGCUGGUGGAGAGCCAGGGUGACAUAGUAGACAACAUAGAGCAGAAUGUAUCCAAGUCAGUGGACCAUGUAAUGGUCGCUAAGGAACAGACUAAAAAAGCUGUAAGGUACCAGACCAAAGCACGCAAGAAAACGAUCAUAUUAGUGGUGGUUGUGGUGCUGUUGCUGGCUCUCAUUAUCGGUCUGGCAGUUGGACUGCAGCCAAAAUCAUGAGCGACAUUGUCUGAGUAAGACGAGAGCUGAGGCACUCGCCUCUGGUUGCUGCUGAACAAACAAAGCAGAACUAGCGAAGAUGGUGAUUAUUGGUGCAGUCUGUGCUGCGGUUGUUCUCACUCAUCCUCCUCAUCAUCAUCCUAAAGCAGCACCUCUGUGUCGCUACCAUCAUCGGUUUAUUCAUCAUCACUCCAUCCUGCCCUCCAUCGUCUGGCCUGCCAAAAAACAUUUCACACUGGUCACUCCAGAUGGAUCAUAUUUCACCCACAGAUGUAUGAAUCAUCAUCCUUGAACUGCACCAAGUGUCUUUAGCAGAGGAAGGCUUGGUGUUUCAUUUGAGGGUUUGGGAAAAAAGGGGACCUGCAGGAACAUAAAAAAAUAUUCCUGAAUUACUUAACCAGUCCCCUCUGAACCAUCCUUCUUGGUCUGUGUGGGUUUGUUUGACUCCCUCCGCCCGCCUGGACAGUUUGAGGAUGCUCUGCUGUAAAGGAGGAAAUGAGACUGGAGCUGACAUGAGGUUCAAUACCUACUGGACAGUGUGUGCGGGGGAGAAAAAGGGAAUUGAAAAAUAACUGUUCGUAAUUCCACGCGAGUCACUAGAGAUUUCAUUGUUCAGCACUCAAUGCCAAAGAAUCAGCCUGGAAAUGUUUGCCAUCAGAAAGUUAAUUAAGUCUAGACAAGACCAGCAAGAUUCACCUCGCCUCAACUCUCUUUAUUUCUUUCGUUUAUGAGCCUUGACACAUUUGUGAUUGAAAAGCUAGCUACUGUAUACUCACUGUAACAGGGUUGUUGGUUUUUUAGUUAAGAUGAGUUUCAGCACUUUCACAUUUCCAAAUAUGACAUAUUUCUGUAAUUUAAGCUCCGAUGAGGAUAUAAAUAAUAUAAGUAUGUUUUGUGUUAUCAGUAUGUAGCCCUGAAUAUGAAGCAGUUCUUUAUAACUUGAAGAGGAUCAGUACGCUCACUUAAGAUUCUUCAAAUUUGUAGUGGACGGCGGUUCUGAUUUAACAUAUGUGAAGGAUGAUGCUUAUUCAAACACAUUUCAUUGACGGGCAGAGCAAAGAUGAGCAAACAAGGAAAGUGCUCUGGGGAUAUACUUGUUUUCCUUGAUAGAAUAUUUAUCUGACCAUAAAAAUCGAAUGUUCUAAUGCCGGUUGAUGGAAAUAGACACUGGUAGUAACACAAGUGACUCAUCUCCCAAAAGAGCUCAAAUAUUUUUUGUAUUUAUUAUACGUUUGUGAUGAAGUGUUGCCAAUAAAGUCACACAUACAGGACGAAGUGCAAAUGGAAACAUAGCCUCCAGUAUGGUCUCAGUGGCAGGUGACUCUUUACCACUGAAAUGCAUUUCCAGCCGUAUUGUAGAUAGCAUUAUAAUAUUUCUACUAUUAACACACAACGCAGUUCAUUAGGUCAUGGGAAACUAAUGCAAUUUCUAAUAUCACGGCCCUGUAAUAAAUCCAAUGUUUAUGAAGGUUGUAAUGUUCAGGUUUGGGCAAAAGAGUUUGAUAUGUAGGUUAAACUCAGUGGAUAUUUGGAGGCCAUAUGUUUGUGCUUUUGAAUUGUGUUGUGUUAUAGAUAAGAGGUGUGUGUGUGUAUGCCUGCCCUCACAUUUAAACGGGUACUACGCAAUGCAACUCAACAGUACCACUAAGUACAACUUCCAGAAACCUUCAUUUCACCCUUUUCUUUCUAAUUUUAGUCCAUAUUUUCAUAAAAGCUAAAUGACUGAAGUAAGUACAUUAGUUUACCAAAUGAAGGCUGGAUAGCUAGCGGGGCUUUUAGCAGUAGACUGAAUUAGUUGUGGCUAGAUGUUCCUAAUAAAUUGGCAGCUGAGUUUAAUUCUGGCUGGUCACCAUCAUUUUUAGCCUUUUAUUUUUUGGUGAAGGGGGAAAAGUGUCAAAUCUACAGUGUAUUCAACCACAGUGUGCACAUUGUCAUCCCAUGGCUUUAAUCAGGUAGUUGAAGUGGCUGAUUCCAGCUGUGCAUACAGGGACCGUAUCAGAUAGACUAUUUCCUCCAGUCAUCAGAGAGAAGAGGCAAGAUGAUCCAUACAAAUCUACAGGUAUUCACCACAUGAGGGGUUUUGUAGUGCGACGACAUACUAGAAUUACCAUGAGAGCUGCGAUCACUGAGUGAAAUCUUUGUCUUCAUCCAAACAGAGCUCGUUUGAUACUUGUAAUUGUGUCUGUGAAGGAAGCACUUGAGAUCGAGAGGCCCCCUUGAUCUUUAAGCCAGUUUCUUUCCACAGCUGCUCAGUCACAAUGCUUCUUUCUAUUCAAGAGAGGGGUGGAAACUAAAACUGUCAGAGACUGUCUUCAACUUGACUGCCAAUGAUUUUUAUGGUGAUUAAAGAUUUUAUGUUUUUUAA